GGGGCAAGAGGACCUCUGGGGGCCCUUCGAGCCCCCUUACUUCUCCCGCCCCUGGUGUUGGGGGGAAAGAGGGUUCAAGAACUGCGCUGUUCGGAGAUCUGAGUCUGAAGACCAGAAUUGCUUUGAAGCAAUUAGCCAGCCAGCGAAUUCACAAAUGUGGGGAAAAUAGCCAACUUUUUGCUUUUUGCCUCUAAAAUAUCAGACGCUUCAUGCUUGAUUUUUCUACCUUAAAACGUUGUGCGCCCCCCACCCCGCGCACACGCGCCGACAUACACGUUCAAGUGUUUCUGUGGAUGAUUGUUGGGCACCUGCUGUGUGCAAGAAGUGAAUACAAGCACGUGCAGGUGCCUCCAGGAGCUAACUCCUGCACACCGUAGAUCAGACUGGACUGGAUCCAGGCAUGGGCCAUCUCCGCUGGCCAGGAAAGCCGUUUUCAGAAAUGCAAAGGAAGAUAUCAUCACCAUCAUCAUCAUCAUCAUCACCACCACCACCACUGUCAUCAUCUUCCUGAUAAUGCAGAGAAGAGGCAGAGAUGAAGAGAAGCAACUAUACCCAAGGUUACAGAGGUAGUUAAAGGAAAACUUGGGGUUUGAACCCGGAGAGUCUGGCCCCCCAGACCUCUGAUUCUCAACUAUUGUGCUGUGUAGUCUCACAAAUGUUUGAUUCAGAGACACUGAACUAUACCGACAAGCCAACUGGGACGGAUUGAGGACCAUAUUUUCUCUAGAAAGUUGGGCUGGGAACUCAGAGGUUAAAAACAAGCCACAUACUAAUGAUUCCUGGCUGGUGAGCUGACAUUUUGCAGUGGAAGAAAUGAGCAGGGGUUUAGUAAAGAAAACAUCAUCGAGAGAAGAGGUGAUGGGGAGGAUUUGGAGACCCCUGAGGUUCUCAGCCUGGCCACAGGAGGAAGAGGAGGAGGCUCAAAGCUAUCUGGUGCCAGGCAUUGUGAGGAGCCUUUUCCAGCUUGGGAAACCCUGCAGAAUGGACAUUAGCAACUGGAGUUAUCACUUUUGCUCCACAACCACAGCCUGUCUCUUCCUGUAAUGUCAGUGGGAAUGGAUGAUAUCAGCAAAGAAAAGAGAAAGAGACGUUUUAUGGCUGGUAGAUAAUGCAGACAAUAUUGAUGGAAAUGCAGAGAGAUAAGAGAGAGGCAAGAAAAAGAGAGAGGACAAAAACAUCAGGAGAAGAAGAGAGAUACAGACAGAACAAUCAGGAGCCAGAGAAGACUGCUAUCUUGCCCAGUGCCCCUGUAGCCAGCAGCGUCUGUCUCAGGCUCUUUCAUAGCAGCUAGAAGGAAAAUGUAUUGAAAACUGCCAGAAGACUAUGCACUUUGCAGGCAUCAUUUCAUUUGAAACAGAUACUAUUACUACUCCCACUUUACAGGUGAGGAAACUGAGGCUGGGAAGCUAAGCUUUAAGAGGUAGAGCUUGAGUUUCAUCCAUCCAUGCAACAAACAUUUACCGAAUAACCCUGCUCUAGAAGGAGUAUUGGAUGAUCACCACACAAUGAGGAACUGGAACUUCCACCUGUGCCUACACCUGCUACCAAAGCCAUCUAAGGCCUUCUUCUUCAAGCACCUGAUUCUAAGGAUUCUAAAACAUUGUUAUUCAGGGCAUGGUCUUGCAGCACCAGCAGCAACUGGGAUCUCCUGGGAAAUGUAGGUUCUUAGCUCUACUUCCAAACCCACUGAAUCAGAAUCUGCCUUCUGCCAAGGUCCCCAGUGGCAGUGCUGGAGAUUGAACCCAAGGCCUUGUGCAUGCCAGG